rnacentral:rRNA from 1 species
UACGUAGGGGGCUAGCGUUAUCCGGAAUUACUGGGCGUAAAGGGUGCGUAGGUGGUUUCUUAAGUCAGAGGUGAAAGGCUACGGCUCAACCGUAGUAAGCCUUUGAAACUGGGGAACUUGAGUGCAGGAGAGGAGAGUGGAAUUCCUAGUGUAGCGGUGAAAUGCGUAGAUAUUAGGAGGAACACCAGUUGCGAAGGCGGCUCUCUGGACUGUAACUGACACUGAGGUACGAAAGCGUGGGGAGCAAACAGG